rnacentral:rRNA from 1 species
UACGUAGGGUGCAAGCGUUGUCCGGAAUCAUUGGGCGUAAAGAGCGUGUAGGCGGCUCGAUCAGUCCGCUGUAAAAGUCCAGGGCUCAACCCUGGGAUGCCGGUGGAUACUGUCGGGCUAGAGUCCGGAAGAGGCGAGUGGAAUUCCUGGUGUAGCGGUGAAAUGCGCAGAUAUCAGGAGGAACACCAAUGGCGAAGGCAGCUCGCUGGGACGGUACUGACGCUGAGACGCGAAAGCGUGGGGAGCAAACAGG